AUUGAACGCUGGCGGCAGGCUUCACACAUGCAAGUCGAGCGAGCGGCGGACGGGUGAGUAAUGUCUGGGAAACUGCCUGGUAGAGGGGGAUAACUACUGGACACGGUAGCUAAUACCGCAUACCAUUAGAGGUGCCCAUAUGGGAUUAGCUAGUAGGUGGGGUAAUGGCUCACCAAGGCGACGAUCCGUAGCUGGUCUGAGAGGAGGACCAGCCACACUGGAACUGAGACACGGCCCAGACUCCUACGGUAGGCAGCAGUGGGGAAUAUUGCACAAUGGGCGAAAGCCUGAUGCAGCCAUGCCGCGUGUGUGAAGAAGGCCUUCGGGUUGUAAAGCACUUUCAGCGAGGAGGCGGUACCCGCAGAAGAAGCACCGGCUAACUCCGUGCCAGCAGCCGCGGUAAUAC
rnacentral:rRNA from 1 species